UACGUAGGGGGCAAGCGUUGUCCGGAAUCAUUGGGCGUAAAGAGCGUGUAGGCGGCCAGAUAAGUCCGCUGUGAAAUCUCGAGGCUCAACUUCGAGCUGUCGGUGGAAACUGCCUCGCUAGAGUCCGGAAGGAGGAGAGCGGAAUUCCUGGUGUAAGCGGUGGAAUGCGCAGAUAUCGAGGAAGAACACCCGUGGCGAAGGCGGCCUCUCUGGGACGGUACUGACGCUGAGACGCGAAAGCGUGGGGAGCGAACAGG
rnacentral:rRNA from 1 species